rnacentral:tRNA from 1 species
GGUGGCUCAGUGGUAGAGUGCUUGCCUUGCAUGCAUGAGUUUGAUUCCCUGGGUUCAAUUCCUCAGCACCA